rnacentral:rRNA from 1 species
GAUGAACGCUGGCGGCGUGCCUAAUACAUGCAAGUCGAGCGAACAGACGAGGAGCUUGCUCCUCUGACGUUAGCGGCGGACGGGUGUGUAACACGUGUAUAACCUACCUAUCUGACUGGGAUAACUUCGGGAAACCGGCGCUUAUCCCGGAUAAUAUAUUGAACCGCAUGGUUCAAUGGUGAAAGACGGUUUUGCUGUCUCUUCUCGAUGGUUCCGCGCCGCAUUAGCUGGUUGGUAAGGUAACGGCUUACCAAGGCGACGCUGCGUAGCCGACCUGAGAGGGUGAUCGGCCACUCUGGAACUGAGACACGGUCCAGACUCCUACGGGAGGCAGCAGUAGGGAAUCUUCCGCAAUGGGCGAAAGCCUGACGGAGCGACGCCGCGUGGGUGAUGAAGGUCUGCGGAUCGUAAAACGCUGUUAUUAGGGAAGAACGAAUGUGUAAGUAACUAUGCGUGUCUUGACGGUACCGAAUCAGAAAGCCACGGCUAACUACGG